UGAUAAAUCAUCUGACUGCCUUUUAA
rnacentral:sRNA from 1 species